rnacentral:rRNA from 1 species
CCUACGUGAGGCAGCAGUGGGGGAUAUUGCACAAUGGAGGAAACUCUGAUGCCGCGACGCCGCGUGAGUGAAGAAGUAAUUCGUUAUGUAAAGCUCUAUCAGCAGGGAAGAAAAUGACGGUACCUGAGUAAGAAGCCCCGGCUAACUACGUGCCAGCAGCCGCGGUAAUACGUAGGGGGCAAGCGUUAUCCGGAUUUACUGGGUGUAAAGGGAGCGUAGACGGCAGUGCAAGGCUGGAGUGAAAGGCGGGGGCUCAACCCCCGGACUGCUCUGGAAACUGUACGGCUGGAGUGCAGGAGAGGUAAGUGGAAUUCCUAGUGUAGCGGUGAAAUGCGUAGAUAUUAGGAGGAACACCAGUGGCGAAGGCGGCUUACUGGACUGUAACUGACGUUGAGGCUCGAAAGCGUGGGGAGCAAACAGGAUUAGAUACCCGGGUAGUC